AGGAUGGGUACACAGUGUGGUAGAAGCUCAGAAUAUUCUGCUACUCUGCUUGCUGCUGAUGCUGAUACAAUGUCUGUCAUGGCCUGUGAUUAAUAGCACAUAGAAUGCUGGCAGAACAGGAUUCCAGCAGAGAUUUUUUUCCUGGUGGAUUGAGAAGAGCAGAACCAGCAGAACUGCCCGUGCAGAGGGUGUUAUUUCAGAAGAAGAGCACUCCCUCUCUCACAGAGUGAUCCGAUAUGCCUUCAGUCUGGGGGCAGGAGUGGAAAGGAGGGAGGAGAGGGGGAAUAAGGAUGCUUCCUUCCCAGCGCUUGGGGCUGCUGGCCAAGAAUGCAAGUCUAAAUUCAAGCCCAAGCGAGUGCUGUGCCAGAUCCAGAGAGUUUGGAGUCCUUUUGUCCAGAAGCUUGCAAUACGUGAGGGAGUUGCCAAAUGGGAUGUGUGGCAUCCAUGUUAUAUAUCUGAUGCAUGAAAACUGGUUCCUACUGAGCUUACUGUGUUGCCUGAGGCAAAAGUACUUCUGAUUCCCUACAUGAUGCAGUGAUCACCAGACCACUGCUGUUCUCCUUGAAUCCGGCUACAAUGGCAGCUCAGGACAACCUCCUGCCUCGGGUCAGGCUGAGGCAGAUGGCAUGCACAGGGAGAGGAAAGGUGGUGCUGCAUUUGACCCUGCUCUCCCUCUCUGGGAAGGGAGGACCUGAUGCCGUUUGCAUUUCUCCCUAGGCUGAACCAUUAAGUUUGAUGACAGAAGUGAACCUUUCCCCCUGGACGUGGGCCAAAAGGCCUUUUUUUUCCCUCUCCCUUCCCCUCUUGUCUCUUUCAUAACCGUCAUUUUCACAUAUCUCUGGAACAUAUCACGUACUACUGUCAUGUGCUCUAGGUGCGCUCCCCUUUUUUUCUUCAGCUAUGUCCUGCCUCCCAGCUGUCAAAUAAGAGCCUCUCCUUGUCUGGCUGAUGCUUUUUUGCCACAGAUGACAUGGUGGACUAAGGCCAUUGCUUCUGCCCCAAGGGAGAGCCUCCGCAUUGAGGAGAGAGGGAAAUCUGCUCUGGAAACACCACCUACAAGCCUCCAUGUCAACAGGGCCAUAGCCAUUCCUGUGGGAUGAGAGUGCCUGUGUUCCUGUGCCUCACCAGAAAGUUCAACCAGUUGUGCUUGUGCAAACCCUUGGAGGGUUCUGAGGUUGAGAAGGUGUCAGUGAGGACGUAGCCCAGGUUGCAGAACUCCUAUGACAGGCUGUGCUGGACAGAGAGGGAACUUGCCUUGGUAAGAAUUGUUUUUGUGUUUUAUAGGGAUGCUGAUGGAGGACACCAGGCAGGGGGGAAUUCUGUGAUGACACUUCUCAAGCCAGUAGUACCCAGUAUGGCUUUUCCAUUUUUAUACUAACAGGGUUCAUAUCAAAUGCCAAGGUUGCUGAGGGCUGCCCAUGGAGCAACUCUGAUACAGGACAUGCUGUUGCAGAGCCCUAUGCCAGAGCAUUACUUCAGGCAGUGCUUAGGCAGAGGUGGAGCAGACGUAAUUUGGUUUGAUGCAGCGUGGUUCUCUUAGGCUUGAAUUCCCACUAAUCCAGUUCUUAAAGAGCCCACCAGGAUGUGUGGCAAGAGGUUUAUAUAGCUGAAGUUCAUACCUGGAUGCAGGCCAUUGCUAGAGAGACAUUGCUAGAGAGAUGUCCCUCAUCCUCCUAACGUCAGUCAUGAUCCCGACACAUUUCUGGGGUUUCUUGUCAAAGCCCUGCUGCUGCACUGAGAGCAGGAGCUGUGGACCAGAAAAGGAGAGCUAAAGCUUUUUCCUGGGGCUAUCCACCCUGAGCAGCUGUGCUGUCUCCU